GACGAACGCUGGCGGCGUGCUUAACACAUGCAAGUCGAACGGAAGGGCCCUGCUUUUGUGGGGUGCUCGAGUGGCGAACGGGUGAGUAACACGUGAGUAACCUGCCCUUGACUUUGGGAUAACUUCAGGAAACUGGGGCUAAUACCGGAUAGGAGCUCCUGCUGCAUGGUGGGGGUUGGAAAGUUUCGGCGGUUGGGGAUGGACUCGCGGCUUAUCAGCUUGUUGGUGGGGUAGUGGCUUACCAAGGCUUUGACAGGUAGCCGGCCUGAGAGGGUGACCGGCCACAUUGGGACUGAGAUACGGCCCAGACUCCUACGGGAGGCAGCAGUGGGGAAUAUUGCACAAUGGGCGGAAGCCUGAUACAGCAACGCCGCGUGCGGGAUGACGGCCUUCGGGUUGUAAACCGCUUUCGCCUGUGACGAAGCGUGAGUGACGGUAAUGGGUAAAGAAGCACCGGCUAACUACGUG
rnacentral:rRNA from 1 species